GGUGAACGCUGGCGGCGUGCUUAAGACAUGCGAGUCGAACGCACCUCCUUCUGGGGGUGAGUGGCGCACGGGUGAGUAACGCGUAACUGACGUACCUGAAAGACCCGAAUAACGCCUUGAAAGAGGCGCUAAUGUGGGAUGUGCAGUCCUCCUGUGGGAGGACUGUAAAGAUUGAUCGCUUUCAGAUCGGGUUGCGUUCCAUCAGCUAGAUGGUGGGGUAAAGGCCUACCAUGGCGAUGACGGAUCGCCGGCCUGAGAGGGUGGCCGGCCACAGGGG
rnacentral:rRNA from 1 species